GGAAGUUAGUGAGAAUGGAGAGGGGAGGAUGUUCAGGUUAAGUCCCUACACAUAUAACUCCCUGUAACCCAAACCCUUACCCUAUUCUUCGUGCUUUGCUUCCCACACUUCACUCCUUUUGGGGGAAGAAAUAGCAAGUAGGUAGGGUGUGCGUGAGAGGAGAUAGAAAUUGUGAAAAAGAAUCUCCAAGACAAAAGUCAGGUGGACCAAUAAGCAGAGCUCCACUGCCAAGUUAACUAAAGGUGAAGGAGGUGGAGGAGGAGUAAACGGGAACGGGAGCGGAAGGGAGCAGGAGAGCUCUCUCACUAUCAAGGUCACCUCCAUUCAAGAUAAAGAAGAACCACAGGUGAUGCUCCUAGGUCCGCAAUGCCCUUACAGAAUUAAGGUUUCAGGAGCCAGAUGAGGACGGCUGCAGAAGGCUAAGAUUGAAGGUCCUGGGUUACCUGCUCUGCUCGAUUCCUCUGGGCUCACACCACCUUUGUUAAUAAUUUACCAGGCGGUAAUAACUGAUUUUUGUGCCAUUCAAGAGGCUGAUAAUCUUCUCGGCUGAGAGAUCUUGCCUUUCUCUUCCCCGCCCCCACCUCCCACCCCCGCCCGCCAAGUCUUCUCAGGCGGCAAUUCCAGGAAAAAUCAACCCCUUGCUGACAAUAACCUUGCUCCCGGCGUGUUCCGGUAGAGUGUUUCAGCACCAGAAUUCAGGACAGCUCCCCGGGAACGCGUAACUGAAAGGAAUUCCCGCCCCUUUGCCUCACUGCCAACUGAUUCCCCCUAGCUCCCGGGGCUAAUUGUCUUCGUCUUUACCUGACUGUGGGGUUCUGUAGGUGAGAAGACAAGCAGAGAAGGGCAGGGUGUCUCCUGUCAUUCUCUAGGGUUAUCUUCAGAGUCAGCCUUCCCUACUUAUAUCCCCAACUUGGAACAGGAUAUGAAUUUGGACUGAGUUGCAAACAAAAAUUUAACUGGAAACAAUGGAAGGAGUUGAGGAGGAAAGAGUGAGAGAAGGUCUGAAGAAGUCCCCAAUUAUGUUAAAGAUGAACUAGGGAAAAAAUGAGUUUGAUUUCUCUGGAAAAUAUCCCUGUCGCCAUCCUAUGCACCUCUUUCUCUCUUGUGCCUACUGUAAAGCAUUUGAAAUCUUUCACCCUCUCCCUCAACCUACAUUUUCCUUAAUGACCCCUGUGGGUGAGAGCUGGGAGCAGAGCUGGGAGAUGAGCUGUUAUUGUAGGAUGUGGGAAUGGACUCUGGAGAGCUCUGGAGAAGAGUGAGAAUAAUAUAGGACUAAUUUAGAAAAAGGCAGAGAAAGUUGUCUCCCACAAACCAAUGGAGACUGGAAAGUCCACUUCUAUUCCAAUACAGGUAAGAAAUUUUAAAAUUUUGUCUCUGAGAUGUUAAGAUAAUAUUAGUUUUAACCUAAUUUUGAAAUAAAUGAUUGAGGUUAGUCUUAACUGUA